CUGUUCGGUUUGGAUGCGGUUUCGGUUACAAAACUUAAUAUUUAUAAUAUUUUUUAUAGUUAACCAAAUAACAUAAAAAUAAAAAUCUCUAAGUUGUAAAUUAUCAAAACUUCAAAUAAGUUACUCUAAACGAGUUCAAACAAGUAAUUAAAAGGAAAAUUAAAGCGAAAGUUUAUACAUCAUUCAUUUGAAGCCUCCGACAUUCAUAUAUAUCAAAAGAAAAGACUACUUGAGAGGGAAUUAUGUUAGACUUAAACACUGAAAAUACAUAAAAUUAAAGCGAAAGUUUAUACAUCAUUCAUUUGAAGCCUCCGACAUUCAUAUAUAUCAAAAGAAAAGACUACUUGAGAGGGAAUUAUGUUAGACUUAAACACUGAAAAUACAUAAUCACGUUUGUGGAAGCUAACCUAUAACUAAUAAAAACAUUACACAUAAUGUAUAAUUAAGUAUUAAUAAUUAAAAGAAUAUAUGUCGGUUCGGUUCGUGUUUAAUCGGUUUUAAGGAUGCAUGGAACCACAAACCAACACCGCAUUACUCGGUUAGUGCGGUUUUGAAACCGAUUGCCUCGGUUUCAUUCGAUUUUGGUUAUUUAAUGUCGGUUCCGUGCUGUUUUGACCGUUUUCGGUUUUUUAGUGCCGAAAAGUCCACCCCUAGUAGUAACCAUAGUGCACCAUACCAUGAAGUCUUCUCUCUCUCUCUCNNNN
rnacentral:lncRNA from 1 species